CUUUAAUUAAUUUUAUAGAAUAACAAUAUCCAGAUUACAAAUGUACCCUUUAACUGACCAAGGAUCAACGGCUUUAACAAAAGUAUAUAGCCUACGGUGAGAUCAAACGUUCACUGAUCUUAAAGAAAGAAGAAGAAAAAAACUAAUUUCUCUACUCCAGUCCAGUUCUUCUUCUUCCCCGUGUCCGCAGUAGAGUUUCAAACCCAAUCUCCUUCCCAGUUAACAAACAGAACACCACCCACCCACCGCCAGCUGAAAAAAGAAAAUAACAAAUCCAAAUCCACAAACCAACUCCCAUAUAUAAAAAAAAUCCAUCAGUAACCCAUUAUUAUAAAUUUAAUUUGAGAUUUGGGUGCCGUUUUUUUUUCUUCUCUUGUUCUUACCUCCAGCAGAUCAAUUCAAUACCCUGUUACCUGUACAGCAUAGAUUUGAGGUUGACUUUUGGCGAGAUUUGAGGUGUUUUAAUCAGAUUGAUUUGAUUCAGGAGUUUUGAUUUUUGCAUCAACUUGAUUUGGGGGUUUUAAUUUGAGCAUCAAUUUAAAGAGUGUAAAGUGCUGCUGCUGAUUUAGGAGAGGAAGAAAUGAGAUGGAAGACGACAGUGAAGAACAAAUUAUUUGUUGAAGGGAUUCUUACAAUUGUUAAUGGGUUCUAAAAAUAGAAAGAAUCAAGUUCCAAUUUGAGGAUUUUUGGGAAAAUUGAAAGAAAUUAUGAAAUUCUAUUUGACCUAUUAACGAAGAAGUAAUAUGCAGAUUAAUGGAGAUUUUCAAGCUUUGUGGAUUGUGUUAAAACUAUCAUGGUUGAUGCUGGAUUUUGCAGUGGCGGCUAUGGUGGAUAUGGUCGACGCAAAGAAGAAGAGAUCAGGGUUUCGUGAUUUAAUUUUAGGGAUACAGAUUAUUAUUAUGUAAAUGUUAGUAAAGUAAAUGGUGUGAUAGUAAUUUCAUUUAUUAAUUAGAUUUUAUAUAUAGUUAUUAAUAAUUUUUUAAGCGGAAGUAAAAAUUUAAUCGAGUCAACAUGGGUCAACGUCGGGUCCAG